rnacentral:rRNA from 1 species
GGGUUGUGAGGUUAAGCGACUAAGCGUACACGGUGGAUGCCCUGGCAGUCAGAGGCGAUGAAGGACGUGCUAAUCUGCGAUAAGCGCCGGUAAGGUGAUAUGAACCGUUAUAACCGGCGAUUUCCGAAUGGGGAAACCCAGUGUGACUCGUCACACUAUCAUUAACUGAAUCCAUAGGUUAAUGAGGCGAACCGGGGGAACUGAAACAUCUAAGUACCCCGAGGAAAAGAAAUCAACCGAGAUUCCCCCAGUAGCGGCGAGCGAACGGGGAGGAGCCCAGAGCCUGAAUCAGCAUGUGUGUUAGUGGAAGCGUCUGGAAAGGCGCGCGAUACAGGGUGACAGCCCCGUACACAAAAGCGCAUGUGCUGUGAGCUCGAUGAGUAGGGCGGGACACGUGGUAUCCUGUCUGAAUAUGGGGGGACCAUCCUCCAAGGCUAAAUACUCCUGACUGACCGAUAGUGAACCAGUACCGUGAGGGAAAGGCGAAAAGAACCCCGGCGAGGGGAGUGAAAAAGAACCUGAAACCGUGUACGUACAAGCAGUGGGAGCCCCACCACCAAAGCAUUUGCUGUACCGCGUUGACGGAGCGAAGCGACGUCAAACCGAUAAAACAGCAGUGUAAAGUGAGCCGCAGGGCGCUUUGCGCGACAGCGCAAAGGCAGGCGGUUUCGCGUAGCGAAAGCGAAUGCUUUGGGGUGGGGUGACUGCGUACCUUUUGUAUAAUGGGUCAGCGACUUAUAUUCUGUAGCAAGGUUAACCGUAUAGGGGAGCCGGAGGGAAACCGAGUCUUAAUUGGGCGUUAAGUUGCAGGGUAUAGACCCGAAACCCGGUGAUCUAGCCAUGGGCAGGUUGAAGGUUGGGUAACACUAACUGGAGGACCGAACCGACUAAUGUUGAAAAAUUAGCGGAUGACCUGUGGCUGGGGGUGAAAGGCCAAUCAAACCGGGAGAUAGCUGGUUCUCCCCGAAAGCUAUUUAGGUAGCGCCUCGUGAAUUCAUCUCCGGGGGUAGAGCACUGUUUCGGCUAGGGGGCCAUCCCGGCUUACCAACCCGAUGCAAACUGCGAAUACCGGAGAAUGUUAUCACGGGAGACACACGGCGGGUGCUAACGUCCGUCGUGAAGAGGGAAACAACCCAGACCGCCAGCUAAGGUCCCAAAGUCAUGGUUAAGUGGGAAACGAUGUGGGAAGGCCCAGACAGCCAGGAUGUUGGCUUAGAAGCAGCCAUCAUUUAAAGAAAGCGUAAUAGCUCACUGGUCGAGUCGGCCUGCGCGGAAGAUGUAACGGGGCUAAACCAUGCACCGAAGCUGCGGCAGCGAACGUAUCACCCAAGACAACUUUACGGAGUUGACGAUUGACGGAGCGAAGCGACGUCAAAGCGUUCAUUAAAGUCGAGUUGGCUUAGGGAUACGUUCGUUGGGUAGGGGAGCGUUCUGUAAGCCUGUGAAGGUGUGUCGUGAGGCAUGCUGGAGGUAUCAGAAGUGCGAAUGCUGACAUAAGUAACGAUAAAGCGGGUGAAAAGCCCGCUCGCCGGAAGACCAAGGGUUCCUGUCCAACGUUAAUCGGGGCAGGGUGAGUCGACCCCUAAGGCGAGGCCGAAAGGCGUAGUCGAUGGGAAACGGGUUAAUAUUCCCGUACUUGGUGUUACUGCGAAGGGGGGACGGAGAAGGCUAUGUUGGCCGGGCGACGGUUGUCCCGGUUUAAGCGUGUAGGUGUGUGUUCCAGGUAAAUCCGGUUCACUUUAACACUGAGGCGUGACGACGAGGCACUACGGUGCUGAAGCAACAAAUGCCCUGCUUCCAGGAAAAGCCUCUAAGCAUCAGGUAACAUCAAAUCGUACCCCAAACCGACACAGGUGGUCAGGUAGAGAAUACCAAGGCGCUUGAGAGAACUCGGGUGAAGGAACUAGGCAAAAUGGUGCCGUAACUUCGGGAGAAGGCACGCUGAUAUGUAGGUGAAGUGAUUUACUCAUGGAGCUGAAAUCAGUCGAAGAUACCAGCUGGCUGCAACUGUUUAUUAAAAACACAGCACUGUGCAAACACGAAAGUGGACGUAUACGGUGUGACGCCUGCCCGGUGCCGGAAGGUUAAUUGAUGGGGUCAGCGCAAGCGAAGCUCCUGAUCGAAGCCCCGGUAAACGGCGGCCGUAACUAUAACGGUCCUAAGGUAGCGAAAUUCCUUGUCGGGUAAGUUCCGACCUGCACGAAUGGCGUAAUGAUGGCCAGGCUGUCUCCACCCGAGACUCAGUGAAAUUGAACUCGCUGUGAAGAUGCAGUGUACCCGCGGCAAGACGGAAAGACCCCGUGAACCUUUACUAUAGCUUGACACUGAACAUUGAGCCUUGAUGUGUAGGAUAGGUGGGAGGCUUUGAAGCGUGGACGCCAGUCUGCGUGGAGCCGACCUUGAAAUACCACCCUUUAAUGUUUGAUGUUCUAACGUGGACCCGUAAUCCGGGUUGCGGACAGUGUCUGGUGGGUAGUUUGACUGGGGCGGUCUCCUCCUAAAGAGUAACGGAGGAGCACGAAGGUUGGCUAAUCCUGGUCGGACAUCAGGAGGUUAGUGCAAUGGCAUAAGCCAGCUUGACUGCGAGCGUGACGGCGCGAGCAGGUGCGAAAGCAGGUCAUAGUGAUCCGGUGGUUCUGAAUGGAAGGGCCAUCGCUCAACGGAUAAAAGGUACUCCGGGGAUAACAGGCUGAUACCGCCCAAGAGUUCAUAUCGACGGCGGUGUUUGGCACCUCGAUGUCGGCUCAUCACAUCCUGGGGCUGAAGUAGGUCCCAAGGGUAUGGCUGUUCGCCAUUUAAAGUGGUACGCGAGCUGGGUUUAGAACGUCGUGAGACAGUUCGGUCCCUAUCUGCCGUGGGCGCUGGAGAACUGAGGGGGGCUGCUCCUAGUACGAGAGGACCGGAGUGGACGCAUCACUGGUGUUCGGGUUGUCAUGCCAAUGGCACUGCCCGGUAGCUAAAUGCGGAAGAGAUAAGUGCUGAAAGCAUCUAAGCACGAAACUUGCCCCGAGAUGAGUUCUCCCUGAGACUUAGAGUCUCCUGAAGGAACGUUGAAGACGACGACGUUGAUAGGCCGGGUGUGUAAGCGCAGCGAUGCGUUGAGCUAACCGGUACUAAUGAACCGUGAGGCUUAACCUUACAACGCCGAAG